CCUACGGGUGGCAGCAGUGAGGAAUAUUGGUCAAUGGGCGCGAGCCUGAACCAGCCAAGUAGCGUGAAGGAUGACUGCCCUAUGGGUUGUAAACUUCUUUUAUUAAGGAAUAAUAUGAGUUACGUGUGCCUUUUUGUAUGUACUUUAUGAAUAAGCAUCGGCUCACUCCGUGCCAGCAGCCGCGGUAAUACGGAGGAUCCGAGCAUUAUCCGGAGGGACUGGGUGUAAAGAGUUGCGUGGGUGGCAUAAUAAGUAGCUGUUGAAAUCUGGUGGCGCAACCAUUCAGACUAUUAGCUAAACUGUUAAGCUCGAGACCGUUAGAGGUAACUGGAAUUACUAGUGUAGGGGUGAAAUCCGUAGAUAUUAGAAGGAACACCAAUAGCGAAGGCAGGUUGCUGGGACGGGUCUGACGCUAAGGCACGAGAGCGUAGGGAGCAAACGGGAUUAGAUACCCCAGUAGUC
rnacentral:rRNA from 1 species